UGGACGUCACAGUUGCCACAUGCGUGGACACAUCUAGGCUAGCCCUACGAUGGCCUUUCUGUGGCGCUACUGAAACGCGAGGUGUGGUCUGCUUAAGCAUUGCCGCUGUUGUCUCUUGCACCGAUACGGUGCAGCCCAGGGACACAACGACCAUCCUGCGCAAACAGCAUAUAUGACCUGAGUGCGAGGAAACCCACUUGUAGUCGAACUCGAUAGGUACAGGAAUGUUCCUAGACAAAUGGAGCAUUGUCCCUAUCUAUUCCCUGUGCGGCCGCACCUUCGUUGCACCAAGCCCCAGCUUCAACGGGCAAUGAAGCGUCAGUGCCGCGGACUGUAGACUAUACCGCAGCCUGUCUCACAAUUUCAGUUGCAUUGCCAAGGGCGCUAAUUGGUUGGCGUCAGCGUUAACUCAAGACUCUAUCUGUUGAUUAAUUCUUCCCCAUUUGCAGUGUGUAGUGCUUCCUGCUUUGAGUGGCUCGCAUGAGAAAUGGCGCAUUAAAUAAUACCUUAUGUAUGAAUGUGUAUCCUGCUUUGGAGCGUGGCAUUAAUGUAACAGCACCCACUUGCUGACGUCGUGCAUGACGUCCAAUUCCGUACAAAGUGACUCCACCUCAUUUCCGACGACGCUGCAACCGUGGCUAAGGUGACGCCCUUAGUGACAGGAGUUUUAGUCAGAUAACUUGGAGCUUUUUGUAUGCUUAUUCUCAAGAAUGCACUUUUUCCCCGAACAGCGCGAGAGGUAGUUCACUUAUAAUGCUACCUCUAUGGCUAACAACCUUCUGUGAAAUUGAAGGUUUAUUUUUUGAUUGAGAAAGUAGCAUAUGGCCCCAAACCGGGGCACCUUGGCCAGACUUGGCCGACGCAACCCACACUUGGCCGUCCGCUCUCGUGCGUAGAAAACGUAAUGUUCUGGAUAUUGCUAGUUGCAUUGGUACGCUCGGAAAGUCUGGAACCACACAUAUCGUUUGUAACCAUGCACAGGUAGGCCAGGUAGGAGCCGUAGCAGGUGACGACCGCGCCCACGCUCGAAGCCCCGCCGUAAAACACGUGUCACAACCCUCAAUGAAAUCUUCUGUGCAGGAUGAUAGCAUAAGCCUAAUGCUGGCCGGCAAGGUCAUUACAUAGUUCUUGUUGCCAAGCGACUCGCAUCCGACCUGGCUGGUUAUCCAGGCCUCGCGUCCUACCUAGCGGACAGGUCGAGAAGGAAACUACUCGGAAGCUCAGCCGGCUCGCUGCUGCUAUAGGUAGACGCAGAGCGCCUUGUGCCGCUGUGCAGCUGCACGCCUGUGUUAGUGUAAGCUAUAUCCUGAAUUGCUGCAUUAAUCGGUGCAGCCCAGCCCCAAAAUCUUCCUAGCUACUGCACUACAAUCAGCAAUUCAGGAGAUUUCAGACCCAAUCAGUCCUUAUCUAGCGGUGCGUAGCCCUCGCGGUGCCUCCGCACGUGCAUGCUCGUAGGGUAAAAGGGAAUUCCUGAAGCAAAACACACACACACUUUCAGAACGUUACAGGGAACACACCGGUCCCAUUCACCGUAGGUGGGGUAUAAUCCAUCGGGGAUACCAACCACGUCUGUUGAUGCCACAGGUCACAGGUCACACAAGUUACGCCACAGGUACGCAACGUGACAAACAUCACAGCUAUUCAACCCCGGCGUACAAGAAACGCAUAACGUUACCAGCGCUAACUCAUAAUAGUACAAAAUAGGAGCCUUAGGUGCACUGCACACACCUACACCUACAUCUACGCGCAACAGUUUCCAUCAUCGGUUUACACCUGGGACAACAAUUUACUCAGCCCCAGUGCACAAGCCCCUGUUCAACAAGCAACACGUCUCUCUCUGCGCCACCCCACAGCCCUGUGCGCAACCUGAUAUUGCAGUUGCAUACAGUUACCGCCUCCCGCACAACGUCACAGAAACAAGCGGAAGCAAACACAACCCAUCCAUAUCAGACCGGGGAACCAAAAUGUGGCAUCAUUCUGGGAAGCACUCCAGAGCUCACUAGCAAGGCUUCAGCAGCACACCAUAUACCACUCAGCUGUUGUUCCUAAUGCCAAAACCUGCCAUCUUUUCACGUUAAAAUCGCAUGGUGAACUGAUUCCCAAAUACCUCAGCAUGUUGGGAACCCUCAAUUUUUACCGGCCACCGUGUCAGGAUAAGCACGCCUACUUCU
rnacentral:lncRNA from 1 species